AACUAACGCUGGCGGCGCGUCUUAAACAUGCAAGUCGAACGGUAGUCCUUGAGCUUGCUUAGGGAUGAGAGUGGCGAACGGGUGAGUAACACGUGGAUAAUCUGCCUCCGGGUUGGGGAUAACUGUCCGAAAGGAUAGCUAAUACCGAAUGAGAUGGUGGUUACAUAAGUAGCAGCCAUUAAAGGUGGGGACCGUAAGGCCUACUGCCUGGAGAUGAGUCCGCGGCUGAUUAGCUUGUUGGUGGGGUAACGGCCUACCAAGGCGACGAUCAGUAGCCGGCCUGAGAGGGUGAACGGCCACAUUGGGACUGAGAUACGGCCCAGACUCCUACGGGAGGCAGCAGUUAAGAAUCUUGCACAAUGGGCGCAAGCCUGAUGCAGCGACGCCGCGUGAAUGAUGAAGGCUUUCGGGUUGUAAAGUUCAGUAAG
rnacentral:rRNA from 1 species